rnacentral:rRNA from 1 species
AGCGAACGCUGGCGGCAGGCCUAACACAUGCAAGUCGAACGGACCCUUCGGGUUUAGUGGCGGACGGGUGAGUAACACGUGGGAACGUGCCUUUAGGUUCGGAAUAGCUCCUGGAAACGGGUGGUAAUGCCGAAUGUGCCCUUCGGGGGAAAGAUUUAUCGCCUUUAGAGCGGCCCGCGUCUGAUUAGCUAGUUGGUGAGGUAAUGGCUCACCAAGGCGACGAUCAGUAGCUGGUCUGAGAGGAUGACCAGCCACAUUGGGACUGAGACACGGCCCAAACUCCUACGGGAGGCAGCAGUGGGGAAUCUUGCGCAAUGGGCGAAAGCCUGACGCAGCCAUGCCGCGUGGAUGAUGAAGGUCUUAGGAUUGUAAAAUCCUUUCACCGGUGAAGAUAAUGACUGUAGCCGGAGAAGAAGCCCCGGCUAACUUCGUGCCAGCAGCCGCAGUAA